ensembl:snRNA U6 U6 spliceosomal RNA
GUAUUUUCUAUAUCAGCACAUAAACUUAAAUUGGAAUGACACAGAGAUUAUCAUGACCCCUAUGCAAAGAUGACAUAUAUGAAGUGUUCCAUAUUAAA